AGUCGAACGGCAAGGUACUUCGGUACCCUAGAGUGGCGCACGGGUGCGUAACGCGUAUGCAACUUACCCUUUACUGGGGGAUAGCCCGGGGAAACCCGGAUUAAUACCUCAUGGCAACAUUGAUUCGCAUGAUGAGAUGUUUAAAGAUUUAUCGGUAAAGGAUGGGCAUGCGUCUGAUUAGCUAGUUGGUAGUGUAACGGACUACCAAGGCGACGAUCAGUAGGGGGUCUGAGAGGAUGAUCCCCCACACUGGCACUGAGAUACGGGCCAGACUCCUACGGGAGGCAGCAGUAGGGAAUAUUGGUCAAUGGGCGAGAGCCUGAACCAGCCACGCCGCGUGAAGGAUGAAGGCGUUCUGCGUUGUAAACUUCUUUUAUCUGGGAAGAAAAAGCUCAUGCGUGAGCAACUGACGGUACCAGAUGAAUAAGCACCGGCUAACUCCGUGCCAGCUGCG
rnacentral:rRNA from 1 species